ACUCCACUUGCCCUGAGCUGAUUGGGAGAACAGGACACAGUUUUCUCGCUUGCCACCGUUAGGCUGUGCACGGUCCCAGUUGAGGAAGGAGAUAGCGAUUCCGUUGACGUCAACAAACUUGCCUUCCGUGACCAUGUCAUUGAUGCCCAGCCAAAAGUCAUUGACACCUGGCAGGCUCCUUUUACCAUAGUCUUGGAGGGCGUUGAUUUCGUCGGAGUUCCUGGGGAUAACCAGGAUUCCUCCUUUGGAAAUGCAGUCUUCAUUGGCCUCAUGGAAAUGCUUCAAACCUUCUGAAGCAAGGUAGCAUUUCUUGUGAACUUUAGUGCCUCGGAGACAGACUGUGAAGAU
rnacentral:lncRNA from 1 species